rnacentral:lncRNA from 1 species
UACAUUCCCAAUGACAAAAACCUCAUAUGUCGUUACAAUGUGCAGGUGACUGCAGACGUCCUUGGAACAAUUCAGUUUCAGACUUCUAAGCCAGGCGUUUUGAUCCGUCUGUCGGUUCUGGACCAGGAGAAGGUCGUGGCGGGCAAUAGUGGCAAAGGUCAUGUGGUAAUACCUGUGUUCUGCUUCCAGGCCAACAAAGCCCUUAAUUCCACAGAUGAGAAGAACCAGAACCAGAAGGGAUCCCCCACCCAGGGCAAGGGAGGCAAGGUGAUGGACACUCCCCAGGAG